CUCCUUCCAGGCCGGAACCCAAGUGCUUAGGCAGCCGGGAAAGGCCGGUCCCCUUUUUCAGUUCUCUCGCGACCUCUAGCCACUUCCGGUUGCUAACGGUUCCCAAACAGCCCCCGAAAACGCUACGUGAGCUGGGCCCUGGGCCAGAGGCAGAAAACGGACGGAAGAAAAGGUCUGGCCGGAGAUGGGUCUCACUCUGUCACCCAGACUGGAGUGCAGUGAGUGGUGCGAUCAUAGCUUACUGCAGCCUGAAACUCCUGGGCUCAAGUGAUCUUCUCGCCUCAGCCUCCUGAGUAGCUGGAGCUACAGGUGUGAGCUACCCAGCAUGGCUCAUUUGAGAUUUCUGAGUAGAGAAGUAACAUGAUUAAACUUGGGUAUUGAGAUUAUUAUUUUGGCUGCUAUGUUAACAGUAGACUUGAAUGUGAAGGGGUUGGGCAAGGGCAGAAGCAGGGAGACAGGUUGGAAAGUUGGAGUGGGAAGGGCCUUUUUAAGAAUAACACAAACCCCUAAAGACAUAAAACUGAAAAGGCCAUGGAGGAAAAGAUAAAUGAAACUGGCCUUGUAAAAUUGAAAUAUUUGAAUGAAAAAAGUAAAAAUAAAAUAUAAACUAAAAGUAAAAUAUGCCACACAUCUAAAAGACACAGCUGAUUUUCCUGAUAUACAAAGACCUUUUAUCUUACCAAAAAAUAAAAAUAUGAACAAGCCAAUAGAAAAAUAGACAAAGUACUUAACCUGCAUGCAUUUAUUGUCAGGCCUCUGACAAUAUGAUACUAAGCCAUCAUAGCCCCUGUGACCGCCACGUAUACAUCCAGAUGACCUGGAGCAACUGAAGAACCACAAAAGAUGGCAUUCCACCAUUGAGAUUUGUUCCUGCCCCACCCCAACUAAUCAAUCGACCUUGUGACAUUCCCCCUGCCCCCGACAGUGAGUCUCAUGAUCUCCCCACCCAGCACCUUGGCACCUUGUGACCCCCGCCCCUGCCCACAAGAGAUAACCACCUUUAACUGUAAUUUUCCACUACCUACCCAAAUCCUAUAAAACUGCCCCACCCCUAUCUCCCUUUGCUGACUCUCUUUUUGGACUCAGCCCACUUGCACCCAAGUGAAAUAAACAGCCUUGUUGCUCACACAAAGCCUGUUGGUGGACUCUCUUCACACAGACUCACUUGACAUUUAUAGAACACAAAAUUAAGAAUAGUGAAUAUGAAAAGGUUCACUAAUAAGAAUUUAAACAAAACAAGAAAGAUUUUUAAGAUUGCUAAAGACAAACGAUUUAUAAUAUUCAGUGUUAGGAGGUGUGUGGAUAUACAGGCAUACUUAGUUUUACAUUUUUAGAAGGUAAGACUUAUUUAGAAGGUAAGAAGUUGUCCAUACCCCUUGAUUCAACAACUUAGCUUCUUGGAAUUAUCCAUAUAGAAAUGCUUACAUAAAUGUUUGAACGUAUGUACAAAGAAGCACUAUUUAUUUAAAUUGGGAAACUUGAAUGCCUAACAUUUGGAAUUUAAAUUUUUAUAUGUCUAUUCAUUAAAAUACCACCCAGUUUUUAGAAACUAAGAGAUGCUAAAGGUAUAUUGAGUAAAAUAAAAAGUUACAAAAGAUAUGGUAUGAUUGUUUUUGUGAAAAUUAUUAUCUUAAAAAUGUUGGCCGGGCAAGGUGGCUCACACCUGUAAUCCUAGCACUUUGGGAGGCCGAGGCAGGCGGAUCACGAGGUCAAGAGAUCGAGACCAUCCUGGCCAACACGGUGAAAGCCCAUCUGUACUAAAAAUACAAAAAUUAGCUGGGCAUGGUGGCAUGUGCCUGUUAGUCCCAGCUACUUAGGAGGCUGAGGCAGGAGAAUCACUUGAACCCAGGAGGUAGAAGUUGCAGUGAGCCGAGAUCAUGCCACUGCACUCCAGCCUGGCGACAGAGUGAGACUCUGUCUUAAAAAAAAAAAAAAAAUUCACUAUGAGUAUCAGUUGGGGGUAAACUUAAGGAGAACCUGCAUUUUAUACAUUAUAUAUUUCUGGAACAUUUCAAUUUCUUAUGAAGAUUUGCUACUGGUAUAAAUGGGAAAAGAUAAUUGUUCUUAAAACCCUAUUUAUUCUCCACAACCUAUAAAAAAAUUUUCCUGUUUGGAGAAUUUCAUCAAUAUCUAUUUUCCUCCUCUGAAAUUCUUUGCCUGACAAGUCAAAGAUAAGUAAUGCAUUCACAUAAAUUUAUUAGAAAGAAUAAAUGUCCCCAGCAUCUAGUUUGACAAUAUUUUUUUGUGAAAUGUAUAUCCUUCCAUAGAUAUAUAUACCUUUUGUAGAUACAUACCUUUCAUCUUAAAGGAAUUAUGCCUUGUAAAAGGGUAUAAUUCCUUUAAUAUGAAAAUCAGAUUCAACUUCUGUGUGCUUUUUAAGGGCAAAUAUAAGUGAGCAAAUAAAUUUGUGUGGAUUAUUUAGAAAGUGUAGAUAUAAAUAAUUUUCAAAUAUGCUUUAGAACACUCUCCCACUCUGGGAAGAAAAUUUUAGAAAAAGGAUAACCCCUGCAUUUCUUUCCAUUAGAAGUACAUGAUCAAAAGACAAAGUCCCUUUUUCCCUUGACUGUGACAUAACAUGUCCCUCAUAGGCAACUGAACAGAUAAAAAAUCCAGACGAUGCUUAGUAAUUUCCUGCUUCCCCUUUAGUGCACAGUGUAUUAUCAGUAUGUUUUGCCCUCUUUAUUUAAUAUCUUGCUGAAUUAAAUUAUCUCAUCAGGUUUUUAAGCACAAGCCCAGCCUGCUUUCUGGAUGACACCUGCCACAGGUCAUCCUUCCUGAAUUUCCUAAAUAGCCCAGAAUAUUCUUCAAGCAUGCCCCUGGCUCAUCAUCCAACUUCAGAGAAUCAACUGGCUAGCACCUUGGAGCACCUGCUGUGGGCUCCUCUGCUAAUGCUUCUGGGAGACACCUUCAUACG
rnacentral:lncRNA from 10 species